rnacentral:rRNA from 1 species
UACGGAGGGGGCUAGCGUUGUUCGGAAUUACUGGGCGUAAAGCGCGCGCAGGCGGUCUUCCAAGUCAGUGGUGAAAGCCCGGAGCUCAACUCCGGAAUUGCCAUUGAAACUGUGAGACUGGAGUACGAGAGAGGUGAGUGGAAUUCCCAGUGUAGAGGUGAAAUUCGUAGAUAUUGGGAAGAACACCGGUGGCGAAGGCGGCUACACUGGCUCGUAACUGACGCUCAGGCGCGACAGCGUGGGGAUCAAACAGG